UACGUAGGGUGCAAGCGUUGUCCGGAAUUAUUGGGCGUAAAGAGCUCGUAGGCGGUCUGUCGCGUCUGCUGUGAAAACUCAGGGCUUAACCCUGAGCUUGCAGUGGGUACGGGCAGACUAGAGUGCGGUAGGGGAGAAUGGAAUUCCUGGUGUAGCGGUGAAAUGCGCAGAUAUCAGGAGGAACACCGGUGGCGAAGGCGGGUCUCUGGGCCGUAACUGACGCUGAGGAGCGAAAGCAUGGGGAGCGAACAGG
rnacentral:rRNA from 1 species